UACCGUCGUCCAGGCUUCCGUCAGAGC
rnacentral:piRNA from 1 species